GAUGAACGCUGGCGGUGUGCCUAACACAUGCAAGUCGAGCGAACAGACGAGGAGCUCGUUCCCUUGAGGUUAGCGGGUGACGGGCGAGUAAGACGUGCAUAACAUUCUUCUAUUUCUGGGAUAAUUACGUGAAACCGGUUACACUACUGCAUCAUACGACGUACGGCAUGGAUCAACAGUGAUUGACGGCUUGCGCGUUUCAAUGAGACGAUUUCGCAUCGGAUUAGCUAGUUGGUAAGGUAACGGCUUACCAAGGCGACGAUGCGUAGCUGACCUGAGAGGGUGAUCGGCCACACUGGAACUGAGACACGGUCCAGACUCCUACGGGAGGCAGCAGUGGGGAAUCUUCCGCAAUGGGCGAAAGCCUGACGGAGCAACACCGCGUGAGUGAAGAGGGUCUUCGGGUCGUAAAGCUCUGUUAUUAGGAAAGAACAAAUGUGUAAGUAACUAUGCACGUCUUGACGGUACCUAAUCAGAAAGCCACGGCUAACUACGUG
rnacentral:rRNA from 1 species